CAGCAGCCGCGGUAAUACAGAGGGUGCGAGCGUUAAUCGGAUUUACUGGGCGUAAAGCGUGCGUAGGCGGCUAAUUGAGUCGGAUGUGAAAUCCCCGAGCUUAACUUGGGAAUUGCAUUCGAUACUGGUUAGCUAGAGUGUGGGAGAGGAUGGUAGAAUUCCAGGUGUAGCGGUGAAAUGCGUAGAGAUCUGGAGGAAUACCGAUGGCGAAGGCAGCCAUCUGGCCUAACACUGACGCUGAGGUACGAAAGCAUGGGGAGCAAACAGGAUUAGAGACCCCGGUAGUCCCUGUCUCUUAUAC
rnacentral:rRNA from 1 species